rnacentral:rRNA from 1 species
GAUGAACGCUAGCGGCGGGCCUAAUACAUGCAAGUCGAACGGGAUUGUUGGUAGCAAUACUGACAUGAGAGUGGCGCACGGGUGCGUAACACGUAUGUAACCUACCUCUAACUGGGGAAUAGCUUCGAGAAAUCGAAAUUAAUACCCCAUAAUGUUUAGAAAAGGCAUCUUUUCUUUACCAAAGCUCCGACGGUUAGAGAUGGACAUGCGGUGCAUUAGCUAGUUGGUGAGGUAAUGGCUCACCAAGGCUUCGAUGCAUAGGGGGUCUGAGAGGAUGAUCCCCCACACUGGUACUGAGACACGGACCAGACUCCUACGGGAGGCAGCAGUAGGGAAUAUUGGGCAAUGGACGAAAGUCUGACCCAGCCACGCCGCGUGAAGGAUGACUGCCCUAUGGGUUGUAAACUUCUUUUGUAUGGGAAGAAACCUCCGAACGUGUUCGGAGCUGACGGUACCAUAAGAAUAAGCAUCGGCUAACUCCGUG